ensembl:lncRNA
CUGGACUGUCCUAUAGCUGAAGAAUUCAAGGAUAACAGGCUGCAAAUCAGGAAGACAUUCUCAGACUCCAAGACUGUGUUGUCUUGUAGUCUAACUGAACAUAUCCAGUCACCUCGACUUCAAUACACCUAUUCCACUACAGCAGACAGGAAUGUGUCCUCCUUCAUACCACCACAUGAUUUCUGUGCAUCACUGCAGACACCUAAGGGGAUAAGCCUUGCAGGCUGCUCUGGAGAUACCUGGCAGAGAGAGACAAUCGUGGACGAAAACACCUUCAUCAACGAAGAGGCCAUGGAUCAUGAAGAUACAGUCACUAGUGGCCAGCCACAAGUGCCUUGCCCAGCUUCCCGUCGGGGAUGGCGUCACCACUGGAAGGGGUUUAAAAAGACAAUUAGUAGAAGCCUUCGAAACCUGUGCUGCUGUCUGCCACCACCAUCGGAAAAUCAAGUCUCCUGCAAUAACUUGGCUCUCAGGAAGAGAGGAGAACAUUGUGUCACCCACAGGACCAGUCCUGAAGAACAGCAGCCUCAGCUCCAUGGCUUUUAAGCCAGUGGUGGGGGUUGGCCUGGCUGAAGAUUAUUCAGUCUCAGAGGAGCCAGGCCAGACGUCCAGGUCCUGUGUGCUUGCAGGCCCCUUCUCCAGAGGAAGAGCAUUCCACACCACAGCAAGGUCUCUCCAGGUAAAGCCCCAGGCAGGAAGGCCUGCCUUUUCACUGUGUCUUGCUCAGGAGGGAGGGAUGAAGUAGAACAGUGCCCUAAAAGUGUCAGUGGAUCAGUAGCCCUCUGCCCUCUCUUCUAGCAUAGGUAAAUAUCAG